GACGAACGCUGGCGGCGUGCUUAACACAUGCAAGUCGAACGAAGAGCGAUGGAAGCUUGCUUCUCUCAAUCUUAGUGGCGAACGGGUGGGUAACGCGUAAUCAACCUGCCCUUCAGAGGGGGACAACAGUUGGAAACGACUGCUAAUACCGCAUACGAUCUAACCUCGGCAUCGAGGAAAGAUGAAAGGUGGCCUCUAUGUAUAAGCUAUCACUGAAGGAGGGGAUUGCGUCUGAUUAGCUAGUUGGAGGGGUAACGGCCCACCAAGGCGAUGAUCAGUAGCCGGUCUGAGAGGAAGAACGGCCACAUUGGGACUGAGACACGGCCCAGACUCCUACGGGAGGCAGCAGUGGGGAAUCUUCCGCAAUAGACGAAAGUCUGACGGAGCAACGCCGCGUGAGUGAUGACGGCCUUCGGGUUGUAAAGCUCUGUUAAUCGGGACGAAAGGCCUUCUUGCGAAUAGUGAGAAGGAUUGACGGUACCGGAAUAGAAAGCCACGGCUAACUACGUG
rnacentral:rRNA from 1 species